UCGUAAGUACGCAUUUCACUGUACGGUCUACACCUGUUGCAUUCGGCGCAUGUGACAAAUACAAUUUGAUUUGACGUAAUAAAGAUGGCUCUCUUGCCUAAGUAACAUUUAUGUCGUGACACACUUUAUUUGAGUCAGGAGACACAUCUCAGUCAACCAAUGACAGGCCAGUUUAACUCCCACCAUGUCACUGUCAUGAGACCAGCAAUGACAUUUUUAUUUUUAGUGCACCUACACUGACUGUCGCAGAGGGACAUGAUUAGGGUAGAGAGAUAUGCCUUCAUGUAAACACGUUAUAGACCUACUAUGCACAGUAAUGCACUAGUCAAGUGAACACUUGUGUUGUGACCCUAUAUAUUUUGUAAGAGCAUAUUUCUAUCCCCAAAACAUCCUAAGUGAUUUCCUGCGACAUGGCACGGGUAUAGACAGCAGCGAUACAAAAGAGCCGGUCCAUCCGGUCCAGGCGUAGUUUGUCCAGCUCCAGCCUCAACUCCUCUGUCUCCGGGCUGAUGCUGUUCCUGCUGACCAUCACCUCCAGGAUCUCCAGCACCCGCACCACUUUUGGCAUGAGCCUGGACAGAGCUUCGCAUCCAUACUGAUCAAUGAUCCGCUCAAACUCCUGGCCCACCACCGCGGCUAUGUCAUACACGUCCAUAACCGUUAAAUCGGCCACAUUCUUCUCCAACGCUGACCCAAACUCUUCCAUGGCUGACUGGGUGGGUGGGUUUGUAUUCUGACUGUCCCCCGCUCUGGCAGUUUUCCGCAGUCUCUCCCUGCUUUACAGGGCUAUUAUAUUUCCUUCGACACAACAAACUUCCUCCCCUCGGAAAAAGUAUUUACUUUUGGUUGUUCUGCAGGUUCUGUGUGUAUCGUAUCCACUUCAAUAAGUACAGAUGCGUAUCGAUUGGGGGUUUCUACUCGCGUCGGACAUCUUGUCAGCGAGUUUUGAUCAAUUUGAUAAAAUCACCCGCUUUCCUAUUGCGGUCCUGCCUGGGCUGUCGUUCUCUCCCGAUUAUGUGGUCAGAUUGCAGUUUGUAAUGCGCAUGUCAGGAAUAUCAAUCGGUUGAGGUCGCCGCUAGGGUGAAUUUGAAAAAUAAAUAAAAACAUGACUCUCAGUCUGAGUGGUGUGAAAAGAAGAUA